rnacentral:rRNA from 1 species
GACGAACGCUGGCGGCGUGCUUAACACAUGCAAGUCGAACGCAGUGGCGAACGGGUGAGUAACGCGUAAUCAACCUGCCCUUCAGCGGGGUACAACAGUUGGAAACGACUGCUAAUACCGCAUACGGAAGGAGGGGAUUGCGUCUGAUUAGAGAGGUGGAGGGUUAACGGCCCACAAAGGCGAUGAUCAGUAGGCGGUCGGAGAGGAGGAACGGCAACAAUGGGACUGAGAAAAGGCCGAGACUCGUAAGGGAGGCAGCAGGGGGGAAUCGUCCGCAAUGGACGAAAGUCUGACGGAGCAACGCCGCGUGAUGGAUGACAGCCUUCGGGUUGUAAAGCUCUGUUAAUCGGGACGCGGUACCGGAAUAGAAAGCCACGGCUAACUACGUGCCAGCAGCCGCGGUAAUUC